ensembl:lncRNA
UGUGUAGCUGUUAAGAGUUGUGUGCGUCUGUGGUUGCGAUGUCGUCUUGCUCGUGCUACAGGCUGCGAAUGCUGAUGCCACCGGUCCCGGAGGAUUCCAAUGCACUUCCUCUCCUUUUGUGUGGUCGACCAAUCGCCUCGAGUGGUGGAUUGGACACGCCCCCCCCCGUAGCACUUUGUAAAGACUCUGAGAGAACUCGUUUUUCAUUUUGUGGAGGGAUGGAUGGGGGCUUUUUGGCAUAAUGCUCUUACACACCAAUAGGGGCGUGUGUGUGUGUGUGUGUGUGUGUGUGUGUGUGUGUGUGUGUGUGUGUGUGUGUGUGUGUGUGUGUGUGUGUGUGUGUGUGUGUGUGUGUGUGUGUGUGUGUGUGUGUGUGUGUUUGUGUGUGUGUGUGUCUGUGCCAAAUUUAAUUCUACACAAGGUAUUGGAUUCUCAGACUCUGACAGUGGAGACAUGGAGAGCAAAUACAAAAGGGGUACCUAAACACAGAAUGAUAUUUUUUAAUAUAGAAGAAAGAAAAUACUUAAAAAAGUGAAUUGAAGGCUGAAGAUAUAUAUCCUAUGUGUUAUAGUUCUGCUCAAAAAGUGCCUCACGUUCAGAUUGUAGCUAUUAUAAAGCAAUUUCAAUUUAGCCUCAGUUUUUUGAUGCUUAGAGAUUUUUGUGCGCAUAUGAGGGUGGUAAUUAAUUACAAAACACAAGAUAUCAACACAUGAUCGCAGUGAAAGCAAACGCUCACCAAAAGGAUACAAUUAUAUUAGCAAUUUGCUGGCCUUACUGUCUACUGUGAGAAAUACCAUUCGCAUAAUUACUAUUAGCUUUCUGCUUAUUACUCGGUUGUAACUUGAGCUCCCUUCGACAUCUCCCUUCUUUGUAUUCCAUCUAUUUUCCUAUUUCUUAAUCCCGUUUUAAUACGUCACACUUAAUGCUUUCGGAACCGCAAACAAAGCCAUACGCAGCCCGUAGCCUGCUCGCUAUUUAACAUGAAGCUAGCUAUUCCAAACGCUCUAUGGCCAUCUAAAGCCAUGCCGCUCAGAAUAACACAUUAGCUUUUUCGCUGUGACCCCUGAAAUAGAGCUGAGCGAAUCCCCUUAGUGCUAUUAGCGCCAGCGUCACAUCUUGCUAUACUCUCCAACUCUCAGGAUGCCGACACUACGUUCACUACGUUUUCGAAAGAUACAGAAGAAAACAGCCACUGCCAACUAUAGCUGUGCUCGUGCUGUUCAUGCUAGUACGACCAACACUGGUGUCUAUAGGACACUUUGUUUCAAAAAAUAUAUAAAAAGGUAUUUUUGCAGAGGUCAGAAUACUUUCUAAAGGAGGAGAAUUUCAUGAGUCGAUUCCUAGGGAUGUCGAACAGAUAGUAAACCGACGAUAUGAAUAAUACAUUAGCUUUGUGCCAGUAGAAACAACUGCCUAGCCCCCCAGCCCCUACGCUCUCCAGCACUCUCUUCUCUUACUUUAACCUCUUCUGCUAUGCAUUAGUACUUAAGUGCCUGUCUUCUGUCCUAUUUAACAGAGUUUGUCUGUUCCUUGCGGCUACCUUAGCAGUUAGCACUGGCCUGUCCUAGCAUAGAUUUGAUGGAUCUAUUUUUGUGUCCGAUGUGCGGUCACCCACCAGCCUCUGUACAGUUUGGUUGUACGAUGACGUUACGUUCUCUUGGUUUUGGUGAUGCGAGAAUGAACUUUUUGGGACGGCGUGGUGACACACGAGCCGUUUGGCCCUGAGCGAACGAUGUUAUGAGCUGUUUUCGCUCUGUUAGUUGGGUUGUACCGAUACCAGAACUUGUACUCGGGCCCGAUUCUGGGCUCAUGUGCUCAUACUCGUUAAACCUCUAAGAUAAAACCACCCGAUACCACUUUAUACACAUGUGACGUAAUUUUAAAGAGCCAGUGAACGCCCAAAAAAAUAUAAUUUUAUUUGUAGCAAUUUGUCUUAUAUGAUCGUCAACUUAGUAAUUUAGGCCAUUUUAUCACAUUCUACUGAAAUAAGUCCCCAAUUUAGAUUAAAAAAGGGGUAAAAUCCUAUGUAUUUGCCAUUUUGAGCUCUGUCUGGGAAGCAGUUGACUUUCCCGCUGAAACAGCGGAUUCACUGGCUCUUUAAACUGUGACGGUAUUAUUAAGUACUCAUAUCGGUACUCGGUACUUAGUAAGUACCCAUAUGUAAGAACUUGUAGGUACUUCUACUUCUAAUCGGUCUGAGGAAAAGGUUUAGUGGUGCAUCCCUAGUUGUGAUGGAUCAUGGAGGACCCGGUCUCCCAGGGUCAACAGUGCCAAAACACACACAAAGACACACUUACAAACGAAAAAAGAGACUUUAAAAUGACUUUGCUGUGAUCCUCUCUCUCUCUCUCUCUCUCUCUCUCUCUCUGAAACCGGCACUUCAAGAAAAACUUAAAACAAUCGAUUUUGUUGUUGGCUGAUCGUCCGUGAUUUCUUAAAUGCGUUAUGUUUUUUUGCAGGUGUUGAAAAAACACAAACUGUGAUAUGUUUCACCUGGCAGACUUGCCUGCCUGAGUGACAUAGACAAUAAAGGACAUUGGAGACGCGCUUUCGAGUUAUGAUAUCAGGUAGGCCGUUGGCCUUCGAUCGGAAGGAUUUCACCAAGAAAUGAAGAGCGUGACCUGAGAGAUGACGGCCUUGCUGCGCCUUGGAACGUUCUGAGUCACGUGAUAUGGUCCCUGAGCGGAAAAAAAACAAUGCAGCUUGUAAUUGUAAGCAGCUUAGGAGCGGCGAUUUAGGAAAGUCCCCCCCUAAUGGGCCAUUAUUCAAGAGAGGAAGAACGCCCCCCAAACCCAACAGAUUGGACUUCAACCUCAGUGCACUUGAGUUAUUCAAAGCAGACUUUGCUGAAUGACGCCAUGCGAGGGAGGACUGCAGUCUCACACACACACACACACACACACACACACACAUACACACACACACACAAAUAAACACACAAUUCACACAUUUACACAUAUACACACACGCUGGAGGCAUUAUGCCUGGCAGGAAAGCGCACAAAAGGGGUGUUUAAAUCUUUUAUAGAAAAAGCCGCUUUUAUUCCUCACAUUUGUGUCUGGGUUGUUUGCUUCUUUUAUUUUUUGCAUACGGACACCACAAUCUCCUCCACCUCCUCCCCCACCUUCAGCUCUGAGUCCACAACCGACAAAUGUCCAUGGGAACAUCACCCCCCCCCCCCCCAGACGGCCAUACACGGGUCUGCCCCGUGGGGAACGUCCGCGCCUUGUGCGCGUUCACGUCCAUCGGGGGUUCCACUUUUCCUGGCUGGGCGGAGCUUGUACGUCUCAAAACGUGGUGGGGGCGGGGCUUGUUGGACUACGUUCUGUAUUGCGUGUGGGGAGGAGAGUGGAGUCAAGCGCUGCUGAUGACUUACCAGUGUUUUCAUCUUGUUUUUAAUUUUCCUUCGCAGGCCCCCAAAGGGAUGGUGCUAAGUCAAAAUAAUAAUAAUGAUAUUGGGUACUUUGUCCUAUUUGCCCGUGAUGUAGAUGAUUUCACUUUUGUUGCUUGAGUAAAAAAGGAAAAAUCAUGACAUAAACAAAAGGUCAAAACAAAUGAAAGUAUGUGUUUUCUUUGACUGACGGGAGGGGAAACGGGCCGUUUCUUAUUCACGUGAAUGGGACAAUAGGCAAUGGGACAAGACGCAGGUCAGAG